UCGUCAUUUCCAAAGGGAAGUGCUGCAGAUAAAAACUGAUGGUCAGUGAUUUGAGGUGUUAGUGGAGCUUGUGCGACCAUUGAAAGAAGAGAAAACCUGCAGAGAUGGGCUUCUCCCUCUUUUUCUCCGCUGAGACCUGGACCCUUCUGGUGGCUCUCAUCACAUUGAUCUUUGUGUAUUCCUGCUGGACAUUUGGAACAUUUAAGAAAUUGGGCAUUCCUGGUCCCAAACCAGUCCCUUUUUUUGGCACCAUGCUGGCAUAUAGAAAGGUUGGUAAACUUGUUUUUUUUCAGAAGUUGUACAUAAUAGAUCUACAGGCUUAG